CAGCAGCCGCGGUAAUACGUAGGUGGCGAGCGUUAUCCGGACUUACUGGGCGUAAAGGGUGUGUAGGUGGCUGCCAUAGUCGGGCGUGAAAUCCCGGGGCUUAACCUCGGGUUUGCGUUCGAUACUUGGUGGCUGGAGUGCGGGAGAGGGAAGUGGAAUUCCCGGUGUAGCGGUGAAAUGCGUAGAUAUCGGGAGGAACGCCGGUGGCGAAGGCGGCUUCCUGGCCCGUUACUGACGCUGAGGCACGAAAGCCAGGGGAGCGAACCGGAUUAGAUACCCGGGUAGUCCUGGCUGUAAACCAUGGGCGCUAGGUGUGGGUGGUGGUGAGCCAUCUGUGCCGAAGCUAACGCGUUAAGCGCCCCGCCUGGGGAGUACGGUCGCAAGGCUGAAACUUAAAGGAAUUGGCGGG
rnacentral:rRNA from 1 species